CCUACGGGUGGCAGCAGUGGGGAAUAUUGGACAAUGGGGGCAACCCUGAUCCAGCCAUGCCGCGUGUGUGAAGAAGGCCCUCGGGUUGGAAAGCACUUUCAGUGAGGAAGAACGCCUGGUGGUUAAUACCCAUCAGGAAAGACAUCACUCACAGAAGAAGCACCGGCUAACUCCGUGCCAGCAGCCGCGGUAAUACGGAGGGUGCGAGCGUUAAUCGGAAUUACUGGGCGUAAAGCGCGCGUAGGUGGCUUGAUAAGCCGGUUGUGAAAGCCCCGGGCUCAACCUGGGAACGGCAUCCGGAACUGUCAAGCUAGAGUGCAGGAGAGGAAGGUAGAAUUCCCGGUGUAGCGGUGAAAUGCGUAGAGAUCGGGAGGAAUACCAGUGGCGAAGGCGGCCUUCUGGACUGACACUGACACUGAGGUGCGAAAGCGUGGGUAGCAAACAGGAUUAGAUACCCUGGUAGUC
rnacentral:rRNA from 1 species